GAUGAACGCUGGCGGCGUGCCUAAUACAUGCAAGUCGAGCGAACAGACGAGGAGCUUGCUCCUCUGACGUUAGCGGCGGACGGGUGAGUAACACGUGGAUAACCUACCUAUAAGACUGGGAUAACUUCGGGAAACCGGAGCUAAUACCGGAUAAUAUAUUGAACCGCAUGGUUCAAUAGUGAAAGACGGUUUUGCUGUCACUUAUAGAUGGAUCCGCGCCGCAUUAGCUAGUUGGUAAGGUAACGGCUUACCAAGGCAACGAUGCGUAGCCGACCUGAGAGGGUGAUCGGCCACACUGGAACUGAGACACGGUCCAGGCUCCUACGGGGAGCAGCAGUAGGGAAUCUUCCGCAAAGGGCGGAAGCCUGACGGAGCAACGCCGCGUGAGUGAUGAAGGUCUUCGGAUCGUAAAACUCUGUUAUUAGGGAAGAACAAAUGUGUAAGUAACUAUGCACGUCUUGACGGUACCUAAUCAGAAAGCCACGGCUAACUACGUG
rnacentral:rRNA from 1 species